rnacentral:rRNA from 1 species
GACGAACGCUGGCGGCGUGCCUAAUACAUGCAAGUUGAGCGAUGAAGCUUGGUGCUUGCACCAAUUUUAAGAGCAGCGAACGGGUGAGUAACGCGUGGGGAAUCUGCCUUUGAGCGGGGGACAACAUUUGGAAACGAAUGCUAAUACCGCAUAACAACUUUAAACAUAAGUUUUAAGUUUGAAAGAUGCAAUUGCAUCACUCAAAGAUGAUCCCGCGUUGUAUUAGCUAGUUGGUGAGGUAAAGGCUCAACAAAGCGAUGAUACAUAGCCGAACUGAGAGGGGGAUCGGCCAAAUUGGGAACGGGACACGGGCCAAGCUCCUACGGGAGGCAGCAGUAGGGAAUCUUCGGCAAUGGACGAAAGGCUGACCGAGCAACGCCGCGUGAGUGAAGAAGGUUUUCGGAUCGUAAAACUCUGUUGGUAGAGAAGAAAGAUGGGGGGAGUGGAAAGCUCAUCAAGUGACGGUAACUAACCAGAAAGGGACGGCUAACUACGUG